UUGGCUGGUUCCAGCAGUCUAAAAACAUGUAUGUUAAGUUCACUGAAGAAAAAAAUGCUUAUAUGCUGUAGGUGUAAAAGCUGUCUGUCUGUAUGUGCCCUGUGAUUUACUGGUAAUCAGUACAGGGUGUACUCUCCCUCAGCUGAGAUGGACUCAUCUCACCAGAGACACUGAACAGGAUACACUGCCCCGCAGGGUUCCUCAUCAGGCUCCACGCCUCCCCCUGGCACAAUCCAUUGGUCUGGAUGUCGGCUGCUGCUCACCAGUAGCACCUACAGAGAAGACUUAUCAGACAUGCUUAGGAAUGGCUGUCAACCUGGCAUGCAGACAGGACUUCACCACAGAAACUGUGAUGCGUGCAAUUGAAGGCAUCACGAGAACACAUUGUUGUGUGACGUGUGAGAUGACUUCUUCCUGCACUACAAUCAGCAAUAAUCCAAGUGAUUUAAUCACAUGACAACACAAGACAUGGUGAAGAAGAGUACCGGGCAAUGAGGAGAAAUGCGGAGAGAUUGGCAGCAUCGGGACCCUCGAAAGCAAAUCUGCAAAGGGGGACAGCAAGCCUGAGCCUUGUUUCUAAAAAUUGCAGCUCAGAGGUCACUUGGUGUUUAGGACACUGUGUAGCAUUCAACGCCUCCCCACACACCCACCACCACCGCAGCCACGUCUCAAGCGAUGCUCAGAUGUCAGAUGGGACACAUCCACUCGGCAGACUUUUCAGUGAUCCAGGACACAAAAGCUACAUACUUUUAAUGAAAUCCUGGCGAUUGUAUUAACAUAAAUGUUAUUAAAUUAAAUGUUUGUUUAUUUAUUAAUUUCUUCUGUAGAAUGACUUUCGCUGGACAUAACUGUUUAUCACCAUUUGAAAGCCAACAGUCCAGAUGUUUUUGGGAUGGUUGACAACAAAGUCCAACAGGUGCAAAUUCAGUGUAGUAACAAUAGGUAAAUAAACAUUCAUUUUUUCAUGGCCUUUAUUGAUUCCAAUCCAGUUGGAAACAAAAUAACCCACUACUCUCUCUUAGGGCUAUGAGAAUAACACAUUAAAUGGCCACUUCAUCAGGUACAUCUGCUUAAGCUAAUGUCAUAUAAUACAAGGCAAAUUUUUAAGAAAACAUGCUCAGGAGCUAACGAGUACACUACUGUCAACAGUUGUUGAACAAAAAAAAGAAAGAAAAGCAGUCGGCUCACUAAA